rnacentral:miRNA from 1 species
UGUCAACCUUGACUUCCUCUGA